rnacentral:snRNA from 1 species
AUACUUACCUGGCAGGGAAGAUACCAGGAUCACGAAGGUGGUUUUCCCAGGGUGAGGCUUAUCCAUUGCACUCCGGAUGUGCUGACCCCUGCGAUUCCCCCCAAGUGUGGGAAACUCAACUGCAUAAUUUGUGGUCGUGGGGGACUGCGUUUGUGCUAUCCCCGG